CCUCUGUCAUCUCCAUUCCCUCCAAAAACCACUUCGCCAACACCAUUACCUACUGUUUAAACCGUUCAUUCUCAAAACCUCGAACCUCUGCUUUACUAAAGUUGUUAAAUUUUUUAUCCAGACCUCUGCAGAAUUUAGCCAACACCCAAAGAUCAUUAGUUUCUCAGGCAAAACCCAAAAGUUCAAUUUUUAUUCCGCACCCACCUCAAUAUCCUACUCUAAGCUCCUCUCCAAAUGCACUGCUUCAAAAUGUUUAACUGCAGGCAUGGAAAUUCAUGCCCAUGUAAUCAAAUUCGGUUCGUCUCAAGACCCCAAGUUAAGAAACCUUUUGAUCAAUCUGUAUUCAAAGUGCCAGCUUUUCCGUUAUGCGCGGAUACUGGUUGAUGAAAGUACUGAACCGGAUUUGGUUUCUUGGUCUGCUUUGAUAUCCGGGUAUUCACAAAAUGGGUUUGGUAAAGAAGCAAUCUUGGCCUUUUAUGAGAUGCAUUUGUUGGGUGUUAAGUGCAAUGAAUUUACUUUUCCUAGCGUACUUAAGGCUUGUACGGUCACUAAGGAUUUGUGGCUAGGGAGGCAAGUUCAUGGGACUGUGGUGGUAACAGGGUUUGAAAAUGAUGAAUUUGUUGCAAAUAGCUUACUCGUCUUGUACGCAAAAUCUGGAGAGUUUGUGGAUUCUAGGAGGCUAUUUGAUGCAAUUCCAGAACGGAGUGUUGUUUCGUGGAAUGCAUUGUUAUCGUGUUAUGUGCAGAGUGAUUCAUGUGGAGAAGCAAUUGAUUGUGGAAUGCAUUGUUUUCGUGUUGUGUUCAAGGAUAUGGUUUUGAGUGGAAUAAGGCCUAACGAGUUUAGUUUAUCCUGUAUAAUAAAUGCUUGUACUGGAUUGGAGGAUAGUAAUCAAGGAAGAAAGAUGCAUGGAUACUUGAUAAAGCUUGCCUAUGAUUUAGAUCUAUUCUCAUCAAAUUCUCUUGUUGACAUGUAUGCAAAAGUGGGAACUCUUGAAGAUGCUAUCUGUAUUUUUGAGGAAAUUGCAAAACCUGAUAUUGUUUCUUGGAAUGCUGUUAUUGCAGGUUGUGUUCUUCGUGAAAACCAUCAUUGGGCCAUAAAGUUGUUUGGGGAAAUGAAUAGGUUGGGGAUAUACCCAAAUAUGUAUACCAUAUCAAGUGCUUUUAAAGCCUGUGCUGGAAUGGGUCUCGGGGAAUUGGGAAGACAGCUGCACUCUAGCUUAAUAAAAAUGGAUAUAGGAUCAGAUUCUUUUCUAGGUGUUGGACUCAUAGAUAUGUAUUCCAAGUGUGAGUUAAUGACUGAUGCACAAUUGGUUUUCAAGCUAAUGCCAGAAAAGGAUUUGAUUGCUUGGAAUGCUGUGAUCACUGGCCAUUCACAAAAUGGGGAAGACAUAGAUGCUAUCUCUCUUUUUCCUUUGAUGCAUAAGGAGGGAGUAGGAGUCAACCAGACAACUCUAUCAACAGUUCUUAAAUCUGUGGCUGCCUUACAGGCUGAUCACUUUUGCAGCCAAAUUCAUGCAUUUUCUGUGAAAUCAGGGUUUGAAUCUGACAAUUAUGUUGCAAACAGCCUUAUUGAUGCCUAUGGAAAAUGUGGUUAUAUAGAAGCUGCAACCCAAGUGUUCAAAGAAAGCCCAGUUGUAGAUUUGGUGGCAUUCACAUCUAUAAUAACAGCUUAUUCUCAAGAUGGACAAGGUGAAGAAGCUCUAAAGCUCUAUCUGGAAAUGCAGUACAAGGAUAUCAAGCCAGAUUCCUUUCUGUGCAGCUCUCUUCUGAAUGCAUGUGCAAAUUUAUCAGCAUAUGAACAAGGGAAACAAAUUCAUGUUCCCAUCUUGAAGUUUGGAUUCAUGUCAGAUAUUUUUGCUGGGAAUUCCGCUGGGAAUUCUCUUGUUAACAUAUAUGCCAAAUGUGGAAGCAUUAGAUGAUGCGGACCGUGCUUUCUCUGAAAUACCUCAGAGAGGAAUAGUAUCAUGGUCUGCAAUGAUUGGAGGACUUGCUCAACAUGGGCAUGGGAAAGAGGCCCUCCAUUUAUUCAAUCAGAUGCUUAUAGAUGGUGUUCCUCCUAAUCACAUAACUCUAGUUAGUGUACUUUGUGCUUGCAAUCAUGCAGGUUUGGUUGCUGAAGCUCAACGAUAUUUCAAAUCAAUGAAAAAGUUGUUUGGUAUUGAACCAAUGCAAG
rnacentral:misc_RNA from 1 species